CUCAUAUUCUUUUGAAAAUCAAUGACUCUGUGAUUCAGGAAUGGAUACUGUCUGCUCCUGAUGAAAAUCUUCACCUGCCAGCACCUAAUAUCUUCAUCCCUACUGACUUGUCGCUUAAGGAAGCACAAGAGAAGGCCAAAUUUCCAGUUUUAACUAGAAAGUCAUCAUAUUCAACAUUAUGGUACAAGCCUGACACAAUGUUCACCUCUCCCAAGCGUUUGUUAAGAUAUAUUUCAACGUCCCCACUCUAGCAGUUCUCCUGAAGCUGAAGUUCUGACUGAUAUAUUUACUCGGUUGUUAAUGGACUACUUGAAUGAAUAUGCUUACUACGCACAGGUUGCUGGUCUUUAUUACGGCUUACACCACACAGAUAAUGGUUUUCAGGUGACUCUGGUCGGGUAUAACCACAAAUUGAGGAUCUUACUGGAAACUGUUGUU